rnacentral:rRNA from 1 species
UACGUAGGUGGCAAGCGUUGUUCGGAAUUAUUGGGCGUAAAGGAUGUGUAGGUGGUUGUGUUAGUCUUGUGUUAAAUUCUUCGGCUUAACCGGGGGCAUGCACGGGAAACGGCACGACUAGAGGAUGCGAGGGGUCUGCGGAACUCAUAGUGUAGCGGUGAAAUGCGUUGAUAUUAUGGGGAACACCAAAAGCGAAGGCAGCAGACUGGAGCACUCCUGACACUGAAACAUGAAAGCGUGGGUCGCGAAUGGG